UCACCUGCUUGCAGUUUUGAGAAGCUUCUUCCAGCCCACCUGUCAUUUAGACCCUUGGCUUUGACCGGCACUUCCUAUGCCGGGUGUAGAACGCUUUCUUCUGGGUUUCCUGAUGGAACACAGCUACGAGAAUAAGAAGACAUCUCCAGACAUCACAUCUCUGUCCUCCAAGUGCCCCCUUGUCAUCAGGCGUCACGACCUUGUGGGGUCCCAGGAGGAGAGAAUGAAGGAGCAGGAAAGGCGGCGGAGGGCAAUGUGCCUGAAUGUGUCUGCUGAGUCCAGGCCGGAGGGAUGCUGUCACGGUCUCCCGCUUGGGGAGCUGUCAUCAUUUUACCUACCGGAGCCCAGGUGUCCUUCCUGCUGGAGGCGCUGAGACUCAGCUGCAAGACCGUUGCUGGCUCAUGGCCGCCAGAGACAUGGUUCUGACCCAGAGCCUCCCCGAGGCCCUGGUUUUAUGUCUCCUUUUGCCCAGAAGGAGAACAGAAGCCCCAGAAGCUUUGGCUAAAGGCUGCCUCUUUGCAUUCCCACGGCCCGUGAGCUAUCACCACACCAACUUGGUGUACGGAGCACCCUGCCAGCCCCCCGGUGAGCCCCCAGGUGGCCAGGGUCAUGACCUUCACCUUUGUAACCCCUGCAUCUUUGCUGGUGGACCAGCUGCCUUCAGAUCUUCCCCCUCGUUGCUGUGACCCACACGGCAGACGGGGGUCUUGCAGCAGCAGUAGCUAAGCGAGGUAAGGGAGCGAAUGGUAGCAGUGCCCAUGAGGCUUGACACCAAGUCAGGCGUGACUUUGUGUGCUAAUAGCAAGGCGGGAGGGGACCUCGGGGAAGACCCCAGCAGCCUCCACCUCCCCCACUGGAGGCUUGAGGAGAACGAAGUCUCCUUCUUCAUGGCACGGUGAUGGGCCCUUAAGUCUGUCCUUUGCGUCAUGAGAGCAGAGGGCACCCUGUAAAGGGAAAUUCGAUGGAUUCCUUUAUUAGUUAAUUCAACAGGUGCCCCCUGAAUGCUCAUCACACGUCACUUUCCUGUGCUGGGCACUGUGGACCCAGCCUCACAGUCCAAGGGUGCGGCCGUGAUGAAGCGCCGUGGGCGGAGCAGCUCGAUCAGCAGAGAUAACUGUCUCACAGCUCUGGAGCCUGCAGGUCCAAGAUCGGGGUGUCAGCAGGGCUGCUCCCUCUGAGGCUGUGAGGGCGAUUGUGGUCCAGGCCUCUCUCCUCGGCUUGCAGAUGGCCAUCUUCAUCCUUGCGUGGCGUCCUCCCUGUGUGUCCGUCUCCAAAUUUCCCAGACGUAUUGGAGUAGGACUCGCCCUAAUGACCCCAUUUUACCUUGAGUAUCUCUGUAAAGACCCUGUCUUCAAGUGCUAUGGUCUCAGUGUUUGUGUCCCCACCCAAACUCGUAUGUUGAAAUCCUAACCCCAAAGGUGAUGGUAUUUGGAGGCAGGGCCUUUAAGAGGUGCUUAGAUCGUGAGAGUCCCACCCUCCUGAUGGGAUUGGUGCUUUUAUAAAAGAGACCUCACAGAGACCCCUUCCACUGUGUGAAGACACAGUGAAAAGGUACCCACUGUGACCCAGGAGGAUGGCUGUCACCAGAAUGUGACCAUGCCGGCGCCCUGAUCUCGAACUUCCCACUGUCCAGAGCUGUGAGGAAUACAUUUCUGUUGUUUAUAAACCAGCCAGUCUGUGGCAUUUUGUUAUAGCAGCUGAAACAGACGAAAACACCAAAUAAGGUCACAUUUGGAGGUGCUGAGUUAGGGCUUCAACAUAGGAAUUUGGGAGGAACACAAGUCAAACCAUAACAGAGAAGGCAAUUUCAGCCCCGAACAUCACUCUGAGAUUAGCCCAAAUCGCCUGGCAGAAUCCAAGGGGCCUGGAGGCGGGAGAAUCAUCGCUGGGAGAGAGAA